UAGGGAAUCUUCGGCAAUGGACGAAAGUCUGACCGAGCAACGCCGCGUGAGUGAAGAAGGUUUUCGGAUCGUAAAACUCUGUUGUUAGAGAAGAACAAGGACGUUAGUAACUGAACGUCCCCUGACGGUAUCUAACCAGAAAGCCACGGCUAACUACGUGCCAGCCGCCGCGGUAAUACGUACGUGGCAAGCGUUGUCCGGAUUUAUUGGGCGUAAAGCGAGCGCAGGCGGUUUCUUAAGUCUGAUGUGAAAGCCCCCGGCUCAACCGGGGAGGGUCAUUGGAAACUGGGAGACUUGAGUGCAGAAGAGGGGAGUGGAAUUCCAUGUGUAGCGGUGAAAUGCGUAGAUAUAUGGAGGAACACCAGUGGGGAAGGCGGCUCUCUGGUCUGUAACUGACGCUGAGGCUCGAAAGCGUGGGGAGCAAACAGG
rnacentral:rRNA from 1 species